UAACCGGAUACUAUGUCAAACCGCAUGGUUUGACAUUCAAAGACGGUUUCGGCUGUCACUUACAGAUGGGCCCGCCCGCGCAUUAGCUAGUUGGUGAGGUAAUGGCUCACCAAGGCAACGAUGCGUAGCCGACCUGAGAGGGUGAUCGGCCACACUGGGACUGACACACGGCCCAAACUCCUACGGGAGGCAGCAUUAGGGAAUCUUCCGCAAUGGACGAAAGUCUGACGGAUCAACGCCGCGUGAGUGAUGAAGGUUUUCGGAUCGUAAAACUCUGUUGUCAGGAAAAAACAAUUGCCGGAAUAACUGCCGGCACCUUGACGGUACCUGAACAAAAAGCCA
rnacentral:rRNA from 2 species